GGGAUAUAAGAAAAGUUUUGAUGAAUUUAUAAGUGUAGGCAAAAUGAACUCAACACAAAUAUGAUCGGGGAUUGCCACGAGUUAGCUUUCGGCUAAUGUCGCUUGUUCAUUCCACAACACGAUCGGGGUUUUGCCUCAAGUUAGCUUUCGGCUCACGUCGCUACCUUCUACUGUUCAUUCCACAACAGUUGGCAGCUCUGCUUUGACAAAGUCAUCAGCCAUCUAUCCAAAAAUCACACUUACUUUUUUGCAAAUCCUUGGUCAUAAGCAGACCCGUUGAGGAAGCAGGCAUCUUUCAAGUGUUUGUAGCAGAGAACACUAUGAUGGCGUGAAAUUCAUUCGCUUUGUGCGAACGAAAGAUGUCCAUUUACGUGCCCUGCUAUCCUUUGGCCACUCAUACAAACUUUCUUUACAUUGAGAACAAUACAUCGCCACACACCGCCGUGGCAUCUUACCGAGAAGCAAUACUGUUCUAUGGCGGACUUUCCUUGCAUUUCUCUGUGCGACGUAAUUUCCGAAGAUUUUCGAAGAAAAGCAUUUUUGUUGUCAAGGGCGUUGCUAUGGGUUAAACAAAGAAUCUGGAAGGGUUGCGUUAAAAAAAAAAAACGAAAAUAUGCUUAUAAUUGUUUAGCCAUUGAUAUUAUUCAAAAACAUGGUUGGCCAACCUUACUUCACAUUUGGUCUUUAAAUAAAACAGUGAAUGGUUACAACAUGAGAAAAGUUUGAUUGCAAUUACACAUACACAAAAAGGUUAACCAUAAACAACAAAUAUGGAUAGAUUAAUAAUCUUAAUAAAAAUGCAAUUCGUGUAAAUAAAUGAAUUGAUCAAUCCAAAAUUAUAAACUGGGUUAAACUAUUUCUCAACCCACUCAAAAGCAGUUAUGUAUUGAAUAAUAAUCAUUUUAUUUUGCGGUUUUCAUGAAUCUCAAUGAUGCUUUAGAAGGAUGGAAACAGAAUCAUAAAAAUAAAAUUACAAAAUAUUAAAAUAAAACAAGCAAAGAAUUAGAAGGUAAAUUUGUGUAUAAGAAUCACAUUUAUAAGACAAUAUGACAGACACAGUAGUGAGAAUGAUAAAAUAUCAACACAUUAAAAGCAGAUCAGAGCAGAUGAGAUUUUGGAGAGAUUUGAAGGGAAGAAGAAUUCAUAUAAAACUGUUAUUUGUUACUGUUCUUGAGGUGACGUGAAAGGACUAGUUCGUUGGAUGGACUAAUUGUAAACAAGAUGGUGUGCCGAUCGGAGCACAGGUAUGACGGUAACAUGAAUCCACUGCUAAAUUCAAAUGGCUUUAAUUUGCCUUAUAUUCACCCAAAUCUUCCUUGAUGUGCAAAAAAUGAGGAAUUGUAACUCCACGGGGCAUAAGGUAUGAGAUCAAUCUGUAAACAAUACAACUAAAAAGGAAUAAGCUAAAAUACUAUCAUAAAUUUCAAUUUAAUCAGGAAAAUACAGUCAAGUGCACACAUUCACUAACAAGCAAGUAUUAUGAAAAUUCGCUUUCAAGAAAAGGACGAAUGCUGUCAUCUAGCGGCCGUAAUGGGAAACUACCGUACACGGAAAAUAAUACAGAUCAUCAACAACAUCAAUCAACAUCAACAUUGUAUAUGCAUCGCGAAGGGGAAAAAAACACAUACAAUGCACAUAUACAACUCCAUUCGUGACUUUUGCUAACGAAUUUACAAACGUAAAUCUUCCAUAAAAGUGUGUGAAUGUAAAGUGCUUCGACAGCGAUGAACAGCCCUCCUCUUCCGCAAUCGGACCACGCUCGUGAUUGGCUGCGCAGAUUUUGACUUGCUUGGCGCUAAUCUCGUGAUUGGCUGUGCGAUGUUGAGUCGCUUGCAACAGCCGCUCUCCCGAUUGGGUUUUUUAUUUUUUAAUAAGAGAAAGAGAUCAAAGAAAUAGACAAAAAGAGGAUUAAAGAUAAAGACUCGCCAUUUUUUCCUCUUUUCUCGACGACGUGUCCAGCAUUGUGGUCUAAAAAAUCAUUAGCUAAUCUUCGUCUCAGCAUUUACAAAUCAAGUGAGAAAAUGUCCGCGAGACCGGAGGAACUUUGUGGGGAGAAAGAGGAGCCCCCACGUCACCGACACUCGACUGUAUGCAAACUAAUGCACGCCAAGGUUGUUCUUCACAGACUAGAAGAUCUGUAUGUCAGCCAAGCCUAUUAUCCUGAGUAUGCAUGCAUCAAGGACGAGGAAGAGUCGCCAUCCAUUAAGGAAGAAGAAGACUUCAUACACAUUAGAGAGAUCAAAACAGAUCUCUGCUAACAAAACCGAUUCCUGUUGCCUCCAGUACACCUUGUCGCCUACCUGGUUUAAUCCAAAAUAUUUAUCUUACCACCACAAACACCAAUGGCUUUGUCAAGUAAAAAAUUCCCUGGCCCCUCUGAGUGACAACCGCCAACGCGCAUCAGCAACUACACACCAGUUUCCUGCUUGUCCGGAUUUACAAAUUAUCAGCCAACACCGCCUAGCUGCCAGCACCCUCUGCCAUCCCAGACCUGCAAAGAGAAGAAAGACAGACACAGUGCUUGCAGCUGUAAAGGCAGAGCGAUGCGCACUAACAGAAUGAUGCAGCUAUUCGAAGACCAAACUCAAUUGGAAGCAGAGGAGUUUCAGGCUCAACGGUCAGAGUUAGCAGAGGCCACCCGGCAGCAAAGUUUCAUGGAGGGUCUUCUGGACGCCAUGAACAGAAUAGCAAAUCGGCAAGAAAAAUUAUUUUAUUUUAUUUAUUUUAUUUAUUAUUUUAAAAAAAUAUGGAAGAGUAAACUAAAUUUUGCACAUGUACUUUUAUUUUAAAUUGUUUGAUGGACCUUUAAU